rnacentral:rRNA from 1 species
UUUGAUUCUGGCUCAGAUUGAACGCUGGCGGGAUGCUUUACAUGCAGAUGGGCAGCAGCGCGGACUUCGGUCUGGUGGCGAGUGGCGAACGGGUGAGUAAUGUAUCGGAACGUGCCUAGUAGCGGGACUAACUAUGCAGAAAGCGUAGCUAAUACCGCAUACGCCCUUCAGGGAGAAGCGGGGGACCUUCGGGCCUCGCACUAUUAAACGGCCGAUAUCGGAUUAGCUAGUUGGUGGGGUAACGGCUCACCAAGGCGACGAUCCGUAGCUGGUUUGAAGGGCGACCAGCCACACUGGGACUGAGACACGGCCCAGACUCCUACGAGGCCAGCAGUGGGGAAUUUUGGACAAUGGAAACCCUGAUCCAGCCAUCCGCGUGCAGUAGGCCUUCGGGUUGUAAACCACUUUUGGCAGGAAAGGCAGCUGGGAUGACUACCCCGUGCAACUGACGACACCUGCAGAAUAAGCACCGGCUAACCGUGCCUUGACGCGGUAAUACGUAGGGUGCAAGCGUUAAUCGGAAUUACUGGGCGUAAAGCGUGCGCAGGCGGUUCGGAAAGAAGAUGUGAAAUCCCAGAGCUUAACUUUGGAACUGCAUUUUUAACUACCGAGCUAGAGGUGUGUCAGAGGAGGUGGAAUUCGCGUAGCAGUGAAGUGCGUAGAUAUGCGGAGGAACUUCGAUGGCGAGAGCAGCCUCCUGGGAUAACACUGAUGACGCUCAUGCACGAAAGCGUGGGGAGCAAACAGGACAAAUACCCUGGUAGUCCACGCCCUAAACGAUGUCAACUAGCUGUUGGGGCCUUCGGGCCUUGGUAGCGCAGCUAACGCGUGAAGUUGACCGCCUGGGGAAGUACGGUCGCAGAUUAAAACUCAAAGGAAUUGACGGGGACCCGCACAAGCGGUGGAUGAUGUGGAUUAAUUCGAUCGCGCGAAAACCUUACCCAUAUGUGACGUCGAUCCCGAAGGGUUGGGAGUGCUCGCAGAGAACCGGAACACAGGUGCUGCAUGGCUGUCGUCAGCUCCGUGUCGUGAGAUGUUGGUUUAAGUCCCGCAACGAGCGCAACCCUUGUCAUUAGUUGCUGCGAAAGGGCACUCUAAUGAGACUGCCGGUGACAAACCGGAGGAAGGUGGGGAUGACGUCAGAUAUCUGGCCCUUAUGGAGGUGGAGCUUCGCACAUCGCCGUCGGUCGGGACAGAGGGUCGCCAACCCGCGAGAGGUAAUCGAAACCCGAUCGUAGUCCGGAUCGCAGUCUGCAGCUCGACUGCGUGGAAGUCGGAAUCGCUGGUAACGGAUCAGCAUGUCGCGGUGAAUACGUUCCCGGGUCUUGUACCUUCCGCCCGUCUACCACCAUGGGAGUGGGUUUUACCAGAAGUAGUUAGCCUAACCCGUAAGGAGGGCGGAACCUGCGGUAGGAUUCAUGAUGGGGUGAAGUCGUAACAAAGGUAACCCUGUUGCUACUGGUGUCAGAAUA